rnacentral:rRNA from 1 species
CAUAUCAAUAAGCGGAGGAAAAGAACUACAGGGAUUCCCCUAGUAACUGCGAGUGAAGCGGGAAAAGCUCAAAUUUAAAAUCUGGCAGCCUUUGGUUGUCCGAGUUGUAAUCUAGAGAAGUGUUAUCCGCGCUGGACCGUGUACAAGUCUCCUGGAAUGGAGCGUCAUAGAGGGUGAGAAUCCCGUCUUUGACACGGACUGCCAGGGCUUUGUGAUGCGCUCUCAAAGAGUCGAGUUGUUUGGGAAUGCAGCUCAAAAUGGGUGGUAAAUUCCAUCUAAAGCUAAAUAUUGGCGAGAGACCGAUAGCGAACAAGUACCGUGAGGGAAAGAUGAAAAGAACUUUGGAAAGAGAGUUAAACAGUACGUGAAAUUGCUGAAAGGGAAACGCUUGAAGUCAGUCGCGUUGUCCAGGGAUCAGCCUUGCUUUUGCUUGGUGCACUUUCUGGUUGACGGGUCAGCAUCAAUUUUGACUAUUGGAAAAAGAUUGAGGGAAUGUGGCAUCUUCGGAUGUGUUAUAGCCCUUGGUUGCAUACAAUGGUUGGGAUUGAGGAACUCAGCACGCCGCAAGGCCGGGUUUUUAACCACGUACGUGCUUAGGAUGCUGGCAUAAUGGCUUUAAUCGACCCGUCUUGAAACACGGACCAAGGAGUCUAACAUGCCUGCGAGUGUUUGGGUGGAAAACCCGAGCGCGUAAUGAAAGUGAAAGUUGAGAUCCCUGUCGUGGGGAGCAUCGACGCCCGGACCAGACCUUUUGUGACGGUUCCGCGGUAGAGCAUGUAUGUUGGGACCCGAAAGAUGGUGAACUAUGCCUGAAUAGGGUGAAGCCAGAGGAAACUCUGGUGGAGGCUCGUAGCGAUUCUGACGUGCAAAUCGAUCGUCAAAUUUGGGUAUAGGGGCGAAAGACUAAUCGAACCAUCUAGUAGCUGG